rnacentral:rRNA from 1 species
UACGUAGGGCGCAAGCGUUGUCCGGAAUUAUUGGGCGUAAAGAGCUCGUAGGCGGCCUGUUACGUCUGCUGUGAAAUCCCGGGGCUUAACCCCGGGCGUGCAGUGGAUACGGGCAGACUGGAGUUCGGCAGGGGAGACUGGAAUUCCCGGUGUGAGCGGUGAAAUGCGUAGAGAUCGGGAGGAAGGCCGGUGGCGAAGGCGGCGCUCUGGAACGUUUCUGACACUGAGGCUCGAGAGCGUGGGGAGCAACAGG